rnacentral:rRNA from 1 species
GACGAACGCUGGCGGCGUGCUUAACACAUGCAAGUCGAGCGGAAAGGCCCUUCUGGGUACUCGAGCUGCGAACGGGUGAGUAACACGUAAGUAAUCUUCCCUUGGCUUUGGCAUAACUACCGGAACCGGUGGCUAAUACCGGAUACGACUACCGUCUGCUUCGGCUGGUUGUGGAAAGUUUUUUUUGCCAGGGAUGUGCUCGCCGCCUGUCAGCUUGUUGGUGGGGUAAUGGCCUACCAAGGCUUCGACGGGUAGCCGGGCUGGGAGGGCGACCGGCCACACCGGGAAUGAGGGACGGCAGAGACUGCCAAGGGAGGUAGGAGUGGGGAAAAUUGGAAAAAGGGCGGAAGGCGGAGCCAGCAACGCCGGGAGAGGGAUGAGGGGGUUCGGGGUGUAAACCUCUUUCAGUACCGACGAAGGGCAGAUGAUGGUGGUGACGGUAGGUACAGAAGAAGCACCGGCCAACUACGUG